rfam:Schistosoma margrebowiei strain Zambia genome assembly, scaffold: SMRZ_scaffold0000529
AGCCUUCUGAAUCUGUGCAGAGAUUUCGUCAGACAACAAUCCAUUAAUGCUGAUCAGACUUCCCAGACAAGUAAAGUU